rnacentral:lncRNA from 1 species
UGGAAGAGAGAGCUUUUCACCACUUGUUGCCUUUGCCUUAGGACUCUUGUUGAGAUGUUAAAAGUUCUUUCCGUGCAGAUUGUCCUGCAGAUGGAUGCACGUGGUUGCCAUUCGGCCUCAGCUGCUAUCACUUCGUCCAUGGAGAAGAGGACAUCGCCAAAAGCUACUCCUUUCAAGAUGCGAAAGACAUGUGUUGAGGAUAUGAUCUCUUGACAGUAAAAAGUGCCGAGGAGAAUGACUUCAUCAUUAAGUACAGCCCUUCUGUAUGGAAAGGCAAAAAGAGUGUAUGGCUUGGAAUGUAUUACUACAGCGAUGGUAAGUUUGAGCUUCAUCUGAAAACACUUUGUAGGUCUUUAAACUUCAGAAUUUAACAUUUGCUUUUCUUACUGUAAACACUUCAUCGGUGCAGAAAAUAUUUGUUUGUUUUCAUAAUCUUUUAGCAAAAUGUCUCUGAAAGAGCUUUACUAUUUGGCUGAUGACACAAAUUCCUUUUACUUUAAACCCCUCCCUUUCCUUCUGGAAAGUAACACCCACAUUUCAGGAGCCAAUAAGUUUCCUGAAUUAAUUCAAGUCCCGCCUUAGAUUCUUAUUAGGGCUCAAGCCUGGAGGGCGAGAGCCCUAUUGUUUUCCUUAGGAUUAUUUUUUAUUAUUAUUAUUAUUAUUAUUAUUAUUUUCCAACGUCUCGGGGGCUUUUGGGGCCCUUAACAUACUCGAAAACUCUUGAAAAUUGGCACACACAUUGGAACCUGCGGCCAUUAGGACCGGGCAGAGACUGAUACACGGGCGUGGCACAGGGGCUCUACAGCGCCCCCUGGAAUAUGGAGGGCCAUAUAUCAUACAAACUUGCACGUAGACGUAUGAAACUCGGUACACAUAUAGAUCUCAUCAAGCCAAACAACUUUCGUACUGCAUGUCAUAGGCUCCGCCCAACAGGAAGUUGGCUAUUUAGGGUUUAGUAUUCUUAUUUUUCGUCAAAGUUUUGGGGGCUUUUGGGGCCCUUAACAUGCUCAAAAACUCUUGAAAAUUUGCACACACCUUAGAAUCUGUGGCCAUUAGGAGGCUGCAGAGGCUGAGACCCGGGCGUGGCACAGGGGCUCUACGGCGCCCCCUGGAACACAGUCAGAAAUGUUGAUGUAUAGUUCAAACAUACUUGCACGUAUUCAUAUGAAACUCAGUACACAUAUAGAUCUCAUUGUAGCCGAACAACUUUCGUAUUGCAUGUCAUAGGCUCCGCCCAACAGGAAGUCAGCUAUUUAGAGCUAUGUAAAAAGUGCAUGCUCUGGAAUUUGAUAUACUUGUCAUAGGUUUUUUACCCGAU